rnacentral:rRNA from 1 species
CGCUGGCGGCGUGCCUAACACAUGCAAGUCGAACGGGGAUUUGUUUCGGCAGAAUCCUAGUGGCGAACGGGUGAGUAACGCGUAGGCAACCUGCCCUCCGGCCGGGGGACAACACUCCGAAAGGGGUGCUAAUACCGGAUACGAAGUCUGUGCCGCAUGGUACGGAUUUGAAAGAUGGCCUCUGUUUACAAGCUAUCGCCGGGGGAUGGGCCUGCGUCCGAUUAGCUGGUUGGUGGGGUAACGGCCUACCAAGGCGACGAUCGGUAGCCGGUCUGAGAGGAUGAACGGCCACAUUGGGACUGAGACACGGCCCAGACUCCUACGGGAGGCAGCAGUGGGGAAUCUUCCGCAAUGGGCGCAAGCCUGACGGAGCAACGCCGCGUGAGUGAGGAAGUUCUUCGGAACGUAAAGCUCUGUUGUUCCUGACGAACCUCCCUUCUAUCAACAACGGAAGGGACUGACGGUAGGGAACGAGGAAGCCACGGCUAACUACGUGCCAGCCGCCGC